rnacentral:snRNA from 1 species
UUACCCUACUGAUGCCCG